CACCGUGUCACACAACGUCAUCCACUUGCUGAGCGCGUCGUCGGUCGGCAGCGUCUGCGUACCGGGAUAGUCCGUAUGCUCGGUUGAAAUUCCCACAGGUUCGAUCGGCAGAAACGUGACCGGUAUCCUGUCGGGUACGAUCGCGCGUACGCGCCCGAGGUAAGCUUGCGCGAUCAGCGUAUCGGUCUCUAACGGCAGAUGCGGCCCAUGCUGCUCGGUCGCCGCGAGCGGCAGCACGGCGAUCCAGCGAGCGG
rnacentral:misc_RNA from 1 species